UAUUAACCGGAGCAGAUUUAUUAGGUGAUAAGAAUACAUGUGGAAAAUUUAGUAUCCUUGCCGAUGUUUUGCACAUACGAACAAGUCAAUUAUGCUUUGACAGUUUAGAUUACAAUUUGACAAUCAGUCCGUUUAAAUCGAAGUAAUGCACCAACACAUUCAAAACAGGAUGGUCGAGGCGGAGAGAAGAUACAAAGCUAGGUUUUUGAGAGGUCGAGCUACGAUUAAAAGAUUCCAGAAGGGAGAUAUUACCGUGGAUGACUUCGAAAUGUGGCACAUGACCAGCUACGAAUGUGGCACAUGACCAGCUACGAUGAGACUUCACAGCAUCUGAGGGACGAGACAAAAUUACUAAGCAAGCAGUUAGGUGGACGGUUCGCCUACCUAAUAGUUAUCCGGUGAGCGUAUUUCAUUUUGUUCAAAUUGCUUCAUUCAAACGCAUUACCAUUAAUCAUUGCUAGUAAUGUGAUUGUCUAACACUUACUUUGAGAUAUAUUACUAUAAAAGAUGCAUUUGGCGUGCGGAUCCGAACCAUAACAAAAAAAAAAUAAUAA